CACAAAUCUAUCUAAAUCAAAAUUUUAAUAAUUUUCAUGCCAAACAUUUACUGGACUGAUUUAAAUAUUAAAAUCACUCCUUUCUAAUCCUCUGCUGUACGUUCAAACCUGAGGCCUUAAAUAGAAACACACAAGUAUCUGAUUGAAGGAACUUCUGCAGAGUCCUGGUUCCAGAACAUGAUGAUAGAAUUAUAGACAAACUUUAACAAAAGCUGCCUGAGAGUUUACAGGUUUUUAUGUUAGAUUUCUUCAGUAAUUUAAUGAGAGUUAUCAGCAAAAAUCAAGUGUUCAUUUGAUGAACUUCAUUUCCUUAAACAUCCAGAAUUGGAGCUCAUAUCUUUGGCAGCUGUAAAGUUUCUGCUCCUUCAAAGUUCACAACACAAUGAAUGAAUUCCUAAAACACUCUGAAUGCUGGAGAGCGUUUGUAAUGCUGAAGCAGUGACCAGUUUUUCUGUUUCUUCUCUGGAGAUGCACAAUGAGGGACGUCUGCAGCGACUGAGAAUGAGUCUCGCCACAUCCUGACGUGAGGAAAAAGACUUUAUUGAAGACUACAAUGAGAAAAACUAUCAGACAGCAGACGGCUGCAUUCAAGUCUGUAACUGCUGAAUUCAUGGAUGAAUCAUCUGGCACUAGAGAGGAAGACCAUCAAACAUCCACGUCAGCUGAUGGAGGUCCAAGAGUCUCACCCAACAACCUACAGAGUGAAGACCUCCAAUCUGAUUGGACGGCCUCCUAUUCAGCCACAUUUUAGGCUGUUAGAUUGUUCCAGAUAAGACGAGUACAAGAUUCUUCAGAGCCGUUCUACCACGAGCCUGACAGGAAGAACUCCAACAGCUACUGAAUGUUCCUGUGGUUCCCUCAAGGCUACAGGAGGAGUCCUACGAGGACAAGCCGGUCCACCUGAUGGUGGCCAGUCGCUGCGGUUCAAAGCCAACACCGACUACGUGAACUUCUACUGGACCACAUAGAGGCCUUCAAACCGGACCAACAAGUUCAGCGACUCCCCGACUCGUGGGUCUGAGGACGCCGCCGAGCCUCGGUCCAGCUGGCCUCCUGUCUGUGGGUGUUUGAGUGCUGAGAGGUUUGUGGAUGCAUGUGAACGUUCUGUGUUGAAACAGCAGCUUUUGACUCAGUAACGCCAGGAAAAACUAAGAGCUCCUUUAUUUGUGACUUCCACUAAACAAACUGAUGAAAAUAAGUUUACCAGGAUUCUGACUGAUAACAGAUUAUUAAAUAAUGAAAAUAAUCAUUUAAAUAUUCCUUUAAACAAUCCUUUUAGGUCUACAUUUCCUUUACACUGACUUCUUGGUAUAUGUACAAGUAUUUUGGGUGGAAUAUACCAUUAAGCCUAAUGUUCAAG
ensembl:lncRNA